AGAGUUUGAUCCUGGCUCAGGAUGAACGCUGGCGGCGUGCCUAAUACAUGCAAGUCGAGCGAACAUCAGAGAAGCUUGCUUCUCUGAUGUUAGCGGCGGACGGGUGAGUAACACGUGGGUAACCUACCUAUAAGACUGGGAUAACUCCGGGAAACCGGGGCUAAUACCGGAUAAUAUAUUGAACCGCAUGGUUCAAUGUUGAAAGACGGUUUCGGCUGUCACUUAUAGAUGGACCCGCGCCGUAUUAGCUAGUUGGUAAGGUAACGGCUUACCAAGGCAACGAUACGUAGCCGACCUGAGAGGGUGAUCGGCCACACUGGAACUGAGACACGGUCCAGACUCCUACGGGAGGCAGCAGUAGGGAAUCUUCCGCAAUGGGCGAAAGCCUGACGGAGCAACGCCGCGUGAGUGAUGAAGGUCUUAGGAUCGUAAAACUCUGUUGUUAGGGAAGAACAAAUUUGUUAGUAACUGAACAAGUCUUGACGGUACCUAACCAGAAAGCCACGGCUAACUACGUGCCAGCAGCCGCGGUAAUACGUAGGUGGCAAGCGUUAUCCGGAAUUAUUGGGCGUAAAGCGCGCGUAGGCGGUUUCUUAAGUCUGAUGUGAAAGCCCACGGCUCAACCGUGGAGGGUCAUUGGAAACUGGGGAACUUGAGUGCAGAAGAGGAGAGUGGAAUUCCAUGUGUAGCGGUGAAAUGCGCAGAGAUAUGGAGGAACACCAGUGGCGAAGGCGGCUCUCUGGUCUGUAACUGACGCUGAUGUGCGAAAGCGUGGGUAGCAAACAGGAUUAGAUACCCUGGUAGUCC
rnacentral:rRNA from 1 species